UGGCUCAGGAGGGUUGGCAACGACCCCCCAGAGCCGGAAAGUUGGUCAAACUCGGUCAUUUAGAGGAAGUAAAAGUCGUAACAAGGUUUCCGUAGGGAACCUGCGGAAGGAUCAUUACCGAGUGAGGGCCCCCUGGGUCCAACCUCCCACCCGUGUUUAUCGUACCUUGUUGCUUCGGCGGGCCCGCCGCAAGGCCGCCGGGGGGCGUCCGUCCCCGGGUCCGCGCCCGCCGAAGACACCUGUGAACGCUGUAUGAAGAUUGCAGUCUGAGCUUAUUAGCUAAAUUAGUUAAAACUUUCAACAACGGAUCUCUUGGUUCCGGCAUCGAUGAAGAACGCAGCGAAAUGCGAUACGUAAUGUGAAUUGCAAAUUCAGUGAAUCAUCGAGUCUUUGAACGCACAUUGCGCCCCCUGGUAUUCCGGGGGGCAUGCCUGUCCGAGCGUCAUUGCUGCCCUCAAGCACGGCUUGUGUGUUGGGCCCCGUCCUCCGAUCCCGGGGGACGGGCCCGAAAGGCAGCGGCGGCACCGCGUCCGGUCCUCGAGCGUAUGGGGCUUUGUCACCCGCUCUGUAGGCCCGGCCGGCGCUUGCCGAUCAACCCAAAUUUUUAUCCAGGUUGACCUCGGAUCAGGUAGGGAUACCCGCUGAACUUAAGCAUAUCAAUAAGCGGAGGAGAAGAAACCAACAGGGAUUGCCCCAGUAACGGCGAGUGAAGCGGCAAGAGCUCAAAUUUGAAAGCUGGCUCCUUCGGGGUCCGCAUUGUAAUUUGUAGAGGAUGCUUCGGGAGCGGUCCCCAUCUAAGUGCCCUGGAACGGGAC
rnacentral:rRNA from 1 species